UGGGGAAUAUUGGACAAUGGGCGAAAGCCUGAUCCAGCCAUUCCGCGUGAGUGAUGAAGGCCCUCGGGUCGUAAAGCUCUGUGGGGAGGGACGAACCCCUGAGGGAACAAUACCCCUCAGGCUGACGGUACCUCCUUAGCAAGCACCGGCUAACUCCGUGCCAGCAGCCGCGGUAAUACGGAGGGUGCAAACGUUGCUCGGAAUCAUUGGGCGUAAAGCGCACGUAGGCGGCUCGUUUAGUCGGAUGUGAAAGCCCUCGGCUUAACCGAGGAAGUGCAUUCGAAACUGGCGAGCUUGAGUACAGGAGAGGAUCGCGGAAUUCCCGGUGUAGAGGUGAAAUUCGUAGAUAUCGGGAGGAACACCAGUGGCGAAGGCGGCGGUCUGGACUGAUACUGACGCUGAGGUGCGAAAGCGUGGGGAGCAAACAGG
rnacentral:rRNA from 1 species